CAGUAGCCGCGGUAAUACGGAGGGGGCUAGCGUUGUUCGGAAUUACUGGGCGUAAAGCGCACGUAGGCGGCUUUACAAGUCAGAGGUGAAAGCCUGGUGCUCAACACCAGAAUUGCCUUUGAGACUGUAUCGCUUGAACGUCGGAGAGGUGAGUGGAAUUCCGAGUGUAGAGGUGAAAUUCGUAGAUAUUCGGAAGAACACCAGUGGCGAAGGCGGCUCACUGGACGACUGUUGACGCUGAGGUGCGAAAGCGUGGGGAGCAAACAGGAUUAGAUACCCCAGUAGUCCCUGUCUCUUAUAC
rnacentral:rRNA from 1 species